rnacentral:rRNA from 1 species
UACGUAGGGGGCUAGCGUUGUCCGGAAUCAUUGGGCGUAAAGCGCGUGUAGGCGGUCCGGUAAGUCCGCUGUGAAAGUCGGGGGCUCAACCCUCGGAUGCCGGUGGAUACUGUCGGGCUUGAGUACGGAAGAGGCGAGUGGAAUUCCUGGUGUAGCGGUGAAAUUCGUAGAUAUUGGGAAGAACACCGGUGGCGAAGGCGGCCAUCUGGACCGCAACUGACGCUGAGGCGCGAAAGCGUGGGGAGCAAACAGG